GAUGAACGCUGGCGGCGUGCUUAACACAUGCAAGUCGAACGAAGCACUUUAUUUGAUUUCCUUCGGGACUGAUUAUUUUGUGACUGAGUGGCGGACGGGUGAGUAACGCGUGGGUAACCUGCCUUGUACAGGGGGAUAACAGUUGGAAACGGCUGCUAAUACCGCAUAAGCGCACGGCAUCGCAUGAUGCAGUGUGAAAAACUCCGGUGGUAUAAGAUGGACCCGCGUUGGAUUAGCUAGUUGGUGAGGUAACGGCCCACCAAGGCGACAAUCCAUAGCCGACCUGAGAGGGUGACCGGCCACAUUGGGACUGAGACACGGCCCAAACUCCUACGGGAGGCAGCAGUGGGGAAUAUUGCACAAUGGGCGAAAGCCUGAUGCAGCGACGCCGCGUGAGCGAAGAAGUAUUUCGGUAUGUAAAGCUCUAUCAGCAGGGAAGAUAAUGACGGUACCUGACUAAGAAGCACCGGCUAAAUACGUG
rnacentral:rRNA from 1 species